UAAGGAAUAUUGGUCAAUGGACGCAAGUCUGAACCAGCCAUGCCGCGUGGAGGAUGAAGGCCCUCUGGGUUGUAAACUUCUUUUAUAUGGGACGAAACCCUCUCAUUCUUGAGAGACUGACGGUACCAUAGGAAUAAGCACCGGCUAACUCCGUGCCAGCAGCCGCGGUAAUACGGAGGGUGCAAGCGUUAUCCGGAUUCACUGGGUUUAAAGGGUGCGUAGGAGGGCAGGUAAGUCAGUGGUGAAAUCCCCGAGCUUAACUUGGGAACUGCCGUUGAUACUAUCUGUCUUGAAUAUUGUGGAGGUGAGCGGAAUAUGUCAUGUAGCGGUGAAAUGCUUAGAUAUGACAUAGAACACCAAUUGCGAAGGCAGCUCGCUACACAAAUAUUGACUCUGAGGCACGAAAGCGUGGGGAUCAAACAGGAUUAGAUACCCUGGUAGUCCACGCCCUAAAACGAUGGAUACUCGACAUACGCGAUACACAGUGUGUGUCUGAGCGAAAAGCAUUAAGUAUCCCACCUGGGAAGUACGACCGCAAGGUUGAAACUUAAAUGAAUUGACGGGGUCAUAGCUGUUUCCUG
rnacentral:rRNA from 1 species